rnacentral:rRNA from 1 species
AGGCGCGCAAAUUACCCACUUCAGACUCUGAGAGGUAGUGACGAAAAAUAGCGGCGCCGGGCCUUAACGGGCGUCGGCGAUCGCAAUGAGCUCGGCGAAAAACACCGGCGUUCGCGUUCGGCCUUUGCGGGUCGGGCGUGUCGCGAGUAUCGAACGGAGGGCAAGUCUGGUGCCAGCAGCCGCGGUAAUUCCAGCUCCGUGAGCGUAUGCUUAAGCUGUUGCGGUUAAAAAGCUCGUAGUCAAAAGCAGGCUUUUUGAUCGCAGGCGAGCGCGUGUCCGGGACGCUUCCCGGCGCCGCCGCCGGCCAAGAGGCCAAAGAUCGCGGUCGACGGGCGCGCUUCUCUGCGGAGAGGCGCGCUGCCGGUCGGCUCGCGCUUCGCCCUGACCAAAUCGGAGUGCAUCAGGGCGGGUCGAGCAAAGAGCGCUCGUUCCCGCGAAGGGAACGGGUCGCGAGACCCAGAACGAUGUCGCACGGAACGAAGGAAGAGGGCCGCGGCUUCGCCGCCGGCGCCGAGACAAGCGCGUGGCAAUGAUCGAGAGGGACGGACGGAGGCAUUCGUAUUGCGCCGGGAGAGGUGAAAUUCGUGGAUCGGCGCAAGACGAACCGAAGCGAAGGCGUCUGCCAAGGACGUUUUCUUUGAUCAAGAGCGAAAGUCGGAGGCUCGAAGACGAUCAGAUACCGUCGUAGUUCCGACCGUAAACGAUGCCGACCGCGUCGUCGCCUUCGGACGUUAGAAGCGCGUGCGCCCUUCACUGGGCCUCCGCGCGCCGACCAGGUCGAGGUGGCGGCGCCCUGCGGGAAACCGGAGUGUCCGGGUUCCGGGGGAAGUAUGGUCGCAAAGCUGAAACUUGAAGGAAUUGACGGAAGGGCACCACCAGGAGUGGAGCUGCGGCUUAAUUCGACUCAACGCGGGGAAACUCACCCGGCCCGGACGGCAAAAGGAUUGACAGAUCGAAAGCUCCUUCUCGAUUUGGCGGAUGGUGGUGCAUGGCCGUUCUUAGUCCGUGGAGCGAUUCGUCUGGUCGAUUCCGAUAACGAACGAGACUCGAGUUUGCUUGUUGCUCGGCGCGCCCGGGCCCGGGCGACCGAAGUUCCCUCGGGGACGGAGGCGACCGGGCGCCACAGCGGCGCGGCCAAGGCGAGUACGAACGCUCGCCAACGAUAGAGCUAAUCCCAGAAGGACGGGCGGCGUGAAAGCCGCACGAGAUCGAGCGAUAACAGGUCUGUGAUGCCCUUCGAUGUCC